rnacentral:rRNA from 1 species
AGUGAUUCCCUACGGGGCGCAGCACCCCGCGAAAACUUUACAAUGCGAGAUUAAGUCAGAUAAUCGUGAUAGUGCCCGUUAAAUCGGGCUGUCCAUCUGUGUAAACAACAGGUGAAGAGAGGGCCGGGCAAGACCGGUGCCAGCCGCCGCGGUAAUACCGGCGGCUCGAGUGGUGGCCACUAUUACUGGGCUUAAAGCGUUCGUAGCUGGUCUGUUAAGUCUCUGGGGAAAUCUACCGGCUUAACCGGUAGGCGUCUCAGGGAUACUGGCUAGACUAGGGCCGGGAGAGGUGAGAGGUACUCCAGGGGUAGGAGUGAACUCCUGUUUACGAGGGAACUCCG